rnacentral:rRNA from 1 species
AUAUCAGUCAUGCAUAGCAUAUCAAUAAGCGGAGGAAAAGAAACUAACAAGGAUUCCCUAGUAACGGCGAGUGAAGCGGGAAGUAGCUCAAAUUUGAAAUCUUCAAGGUUUUACCUUGACGAAUUGUAGUUUAAAGAAGUGUUUUCUGUUGAAGUUUUGGUAAAAGUUCUUUGGAAUAGGACAUCAUAGAGGGUGAGAAUCCCGUAUUUGACCAUUACUUUCAGCUUUGUGAUACACUUUCAAAGAGUCGGAUUGUUUGGGAAUGCAGUCCAAAAUGGGUGGUAAAUUUCAUCUAAAGCUAAAUAUUGGCGAGAGACCGAUAGCGAACAAGUACCGUGAGGGAAAGAUGAAAAGAACUUUGAAAAGAGAGUUAAACAGUACGUGAAAUUGUCAAAAGGGAAGCGUUUGACACCAGUGUUGUUUUCUCGAAAAUCAAUUAAAAAGAGUUGGAUUUUGUGUUGUAUUGACUUUAUCGGCUUUCUUCACUCUUUUCCUAGCUUUUUUUAAUGCACUUUUCGUUUAACAAGUCAACAUCAGUUUCUUUUGUUGUAAAAAGGUCAUUGGAAGGUGGCUUUCUCUUCGGAGAAAGUGUUUAUAGCCUUUGACUCAUGCAAUCGGAGAGACUGAGGUCUGCAGCGUAGAUCCUUCGGGGUUAGAUACAUUUGUGCUAAGUUAUAGCUUUUCAUAGACAACUUGUUGACUAUGUUUAGUCUUGUAGCUUACUCGCUUAUGCUAUUUUACCUACGCUUAGGAUGUUGAACUCUAUCACACACAG